GACGAACGCUGGCGGCGUGCUUAACACAUGCAAGUCGAACGGAAAGGCCCUGCUUUUGUGGGGUGCUCGAGUGGCGAACGGGUGAGUAACACGUGAGUAACCUGCCCUUGACUUUGGGAUAACUUCAGGAAACUGGGGCUAAUACCGGAUAGGAGCUCCUGCUGCAUGGGGGGGGUUGGAAAGUUUCGGCGGUGGGGGUUGGACGCGCGGCUUAUCAGUUUGUUGGUGGGGUAGUGGCUUACCAAGGCUUUGACGGGUAGCCGGCCUGGGAGGGUGACCGGCCACAUUGGGCCUGAGAUACGGCCCGGACUCCUACGGGAGGCAGCAGUGGGGAAUAUUGCACAAUGGGCGGAAGCCUGAUGCAGCAACGCCGCGUGCGGGAUGACGGCCUUCGGUUUGUAAACCGCUUUCGCCUGGGACGAAGCGUGAGUGACGGUAAUUGGUAAAGAAGCACCGGCUAACUACGUG
rnacentral:rRNA from 1 species